AUUGAACGCUGGCGGCAUGCUUUACACAUGCAAGUCGAACGGUAACAGCACUUCGGUGGCUGACGAGUGGCGAACGGGUGAGUAAUACAUCGGAACGUGCCUAGUAGUGGGGGAUAACUACUCGAAAGAGUAGCUAAUACCGCAUGAGAUCUAAGGAUGAAAGCAGGGGACCUUCGGGCCUUGCGCUACUAGAGCGGCUGAUGGCAGAUUAGGUAGUUGGUGGGAUAAAAGCUUACAAAGCCGACGAUCUGUAGCUGGUCUGAGAGGACGACCAGCCACACUGGGACUGAGACACGGCCCAGACUCCUACGGGAGGCAGCAGUGGGGAAUUUUGGACAAUGGGCGCAAGCCUGAUCCAGCAAUGCCGCGUGCAGGAUGAAGGCCUUCGGGUUGUAAACUGCUUUUGUACGGAACGAAAAGCCCUCUUCUAAUACAGGAGGGUCAUGACGGUACCGUAAGAAUAAGCACCGGCUAACUACGUG
rnacentral:rRNA from 1 species